rnacentral:rRNA from 1 species
GGAACAUGUGGUUUAAGUCGAUGAUACGCGAGGAACCUUACCUGGGCUUAAAUGUACGAUGCAUAAGUGUGAUAGCACUUUGUCCUUCGGGACUUUGUACAAGGUGCUGCAUGGUUGUCGUCAGCUCGUGCCGUGAGGUGUCGGGUUAAGUCCCAUGACGAGCUCAACCCCUAUUGUUAGUUACCAGCGCGUAAAGGCGGGGACUCUAGCGAAACUGCCGGUCUCCACCGCGAGGAAGGUGGGGAUGACGUCAAAUCAGCACGGCCCUUAUGUCCAGGGCUACACACGUGUUACAAUGGCCGGUACAGCGGGCAGCGAGGCAGCGAUGCCGAGCGAAUCUCGAAAGCCGGUCCCAGUUCGGAUUGGAGUCUGCAACCCGACUCCAUGAAGGUGGAAUCGCUAGUAAUCGCGCAUCACCCAUGGCGCGGUGAUACGUUCCCGGGCCUUGUACACACCGCCCGUCAAGCCAUGGAAGUCUGGGGUGCCUAAAGNCCGUAAGCGCGAGGAGCGGUCUAG